UACGUAGGGGGCAAGCGUUAUCCGGAUUUACUGGGUGUAAAGGGAGCGUAGACGGCAUGGCAAGUCAGAUGUGAAAGCCCGGGGCUCAACCCCGGGACUGCAUUUGAAACUGUCAGGCUGGAGUGCAGGAGAGGUAAGCGGAAUUCCUGGUGUAGCGGUGAAAUGCGUAGAUAUUAGGAGGAACACCAGUGGCGAAGGCGGCUUACUGGACUGUAACUGACGUUGAGGCUCGAAAGCGUGGGGAGCAAACAGG
rnacentral:rRNA from 1 species